rnacentral:rRNA from 1 species
CCUACGGGUGGCAGCAGUAGGGAAUAUUGCACAAUGGGGGAAACCCUGAUGCAGCGACGCCGCGUGAGGGAUGAAGGAUUUCGGUACGUAAAGCCCUAUCGGCAGAGAAGAAUAUGACGGUAUCUGACGAAGAAGCACCGGCUAACUCCGUGCCAGCAGCCGCGGUAAUACGUAGGGGGCAAGCGUAUCCGGAUUGACUGGGUGUAAAGGGGGCGGAGACGGGAGAACAAGUCUGGAGUGAAAUCCCGGGGCUGAACCCCAGAACUGCCUUUGAAACUGUUAAGCUGGAGUGCAGGAGAGGUAAGUGGAAUUCCUGGUGUAGAGGUGAAAUGCGUAGAGAUCAGGAGGAACAC